GCAUAUCAAUAAGCGGAGGAAAAGAAACUAACAAGGAUUCCCCUAGUAACGGCGAGUGAAGCGGGAAAAGCUCAAAUUUAAAAUCUGGUAGCCUUUGGUUAUCCGAGUUGUAAUCUAGAGAAGUAUUUUCCGCGUUGGACCAUGUACAAGUUUCCUGGAACGGAACGUCAUAGAGGGUGAGAAUCCCGUCCUUGACAUGGACUACCAGUGCUUUGUGAUAUACUCUCAAAGAGUCGAGUUGUUUGGGAAUGCAGCUCAAAAUGGGAGGUAAAUUCCUUCUAAAGCUAAAUAUUGGCGAGAGACCGAUAGCGAACAAGUACCGUGAGGGAAAGAUGAAAAGAACUUUGGAAAGAGAGUUAAACAGUACGUGAAAUUGUUAAAAGGGAAACGCUUGAAGUCAGUCACAUUUGUUUGGACUCAGCCUUACUUCGGUCUGGUGCAUUUCCUUAUAAAUGGGUCAGCGUCAAUGUUGCUCGGUGGAAAAAGGCGGAGGAAAUGUGGCUCUUUCGGGAGUGUUAUAGUCCUCUGUCAUAUACAUCGGAUGAUAUUGAGUGGUACAGCAUGCUUUUAGUGGUGCUUGUGCUGGCAUAAUGGCUUUAAGCGACCCGUCUUGAAACACGGACCAAGGAGUCUAACAUAUCUGCGAGUGUUUGGGUGGAAAACCCAAGCGCGUAAUGAAAGUGAUAGCUGGGAACCCCGCAAGGGAGGCACCGGCGCCCCGAGUUGAUCUUCUGUGACGCAUCGGAGGUAGAGCAUAUAUGUUGGGACCCGAAAGAUGGUGAACUAUGCCUGAAUAGGGCGAAGCCAGAGGAAACUCUGGUGGAGGCUCGUAGCGAUUCUGACGUGCAAAUCGAUCGUCAAAUUUGGGUAUAGGGGCGAAAGACUAAUCGAACCAUCUAGUAGCUGGUUCUGCG
rnacentral:rRNA from 1 species